rnacentral:rRNA from 1 species
GCAACUCGACUACAUGAAGCUGGAAUCGCUAGUAAUCGCGAAUCAGAAUGUCGCGGUGAAUACGUUCCCGGGUCUUGUACACACCGCCCGUCACACCAUGGGAGUCGGAUAUGCCCGAAGUCAGUGACCCAACCAUAUGGAGGGAGCUGCCGAAGGUGGAGCCGAUAACUGGGGUGAAGUCGUAACAAGGUAUC